rnacentral:rRNA from 1 species
AGUGAACGCUGGCGGUAGGCCUAACACAUGCCAGUCGAACGGCAGCACAGUAAGAGCUUGCUCUUACGGGUGGCGAGUGGCGGACGGGUGAGGAAUACAUCGGAAUCUACUUUUUCGUGGGGGAUAACGUAGGGAAACUUACGCUACUACCGCAUACGACCUACGGGUGAAAGCAGGGGAUCUUCGGACUUUGCGCGAUUGAAUGAGCCGAUGUCGGAUUAGCUAGUUGGCGGGGUAAAGGCCCACCAAGGCGACGAUCCGUAGCUGGUCUGAGAGGAUGAUCAGCCACACUGGAACUGAGACACGGUCCAGACUCCUACGGGAGGCAGCAGUGGGGAAUAUUGGACAAUGGGCGCAAGCCUGAUCCAGCCAUACCGCGUGGGUGAAGAAGGCCUUCGGGUUGUAAAGCCCUUUUGUUGGGAAAGAAAAGCAGCAGGUUAAUACCCCGCUGUUCUGACGGUACCCAAAGAAUAAGCACCGGCUAACUUCGUG